rnacentral:rRNA from 1 species
AGUCGACGAUGAAGCCCUUCGGGGUGGAUUAGUGGCGAACGGGUGAGUAACACGUGGGCAAUCUGCCCUUCACUCUGGGACAAGCCCUGGAAACGGGGUCUAAUACCGGAUAACACUCUGUCCCUCAUGGGGCGGGGUUAAAAGCUCCGGCGGUGAAGGAUGAGCCCGCGGCCUAUCAGCUUGUUGGUGGGGUAAUGGCCUACCAAGGCGACGACGGGUAGCCGGCCUGAGAGGGCGACCGGCCACACUGGGACUGAGACACGGCCCAGACUCCUACGGGAGGCAGCAGUGGGGAAUAUUGCACAAUGGGCGAAAGCCUGAUGCAGCGACGCCGCGUGAGGGAUGACGGCCUUCGGGUUGUAAACCUCUUUCAGCAGGGAAGAAGCGAAAGUGACGGUACCUGCAGAAGAAGCGCCGGCUAACUACGUGCCAGCAGCCGCGGUAAUACGUAGGGCGCAAGCGUUGUCCGGAAUUAUUGGGCGUAAAGAGCUCGUAGGCGGCUUGUCACGUCGGAUGUGAAAGCUCGGGGCUUAACCCCGAGUCUGCAUUCGAUACGGGCUAGCUAGAGUGUGGUAGGGGAGAUCGGAAUUCCUGGUGUAGCGGUGAAAUGCGCAGAUAUCAGGAGGAACACCGGUGGCGAAGGCGGAUCUCUGGGCCAUUACUGACGCUGAGGAGCGAAAGCGUGGGGAGCGAACAGGAUUAGAUACCCUGGUAGUCCACGCCGUAAACGUUGGGAACUAGGUGUUGGCGACAUUCCACGUCGUCGGUGCCGCAGCUAACGC